rnacentral:rRNA from 1 species
UCCCCAGACUCCUACGGGAGGCAGCAGUGGGGGAUAUUGCACAAUGGGGGAAACCCUGAUGCAGCGACGCCGCGUGAGUGAAGAAGUCUUUCGGUCUGUAAAGCUCUAUCAGCAGGGACGAAAAUGACGGUACCUGAUUAAGAAGCCCCGACUAACUACGUGCCAGCAGCCGCGGUAAUACGUAGGGGGCAAGCGUUAUCCGGAUUUACUGGGUGUAAAGGGCGAGUAGGCGGGAUUGCAAGUCAGAUGUGAAAACUAUGGGCUCAACCGAUAGAGUGCAUUUGAAACUGCAGUUCUUGAGUGAUGGAGAGGCAGGCGGAAUUCCCGGUGUAGCGGUGGAAUGCGUAGAUAUCGGGAGGAACACCAGUGGCGAAGGCGGCCUGCUGGACAUUAACUGACGCUGAGGCGCGAAAGCGUGGGGAGCAAACAGGAUUAGAUACCCCAGUAUG